rnacentral:lncRNA from 1 species
CCAUCAUACCCAUGAUGGCUGAACGAUCGCAGCGCCAGAGUUCCCUCCAGUAAUUGUAGGAAACUAUAUGGUGCUGGCCACA